rnacentral:rRNA from 1 species
AUUGAACGCUGGCGGCACGCCUUACACAUGCAAGUCGAACGGUAACGCGGGGCAACCUGGCGACGAGUGGCGAACGGGUGAGUAAUGCAUCGGAACGUGCCUGGUAGUGGGGGAUAACUGCUCGAAAGAGCAGCUAAUACCGCAUACGACCUGAGGGUGAAAGGGGGGGAUCGCAAGACCUCUCGCUAUCAGAGCGGCCGAUGUCGGAUUAGCUAGUUGGUGGGGUAAAGGCCCACCAAGGCAACGAUCCGUAGCUGGUCUGAGAGGACGACCAGCCACACUGGGACUGAGACACGGCCCAGACUCCUACGGGAGGCAGCAGUGGGGAAUUUUGGACAAUGGACGCAAGGCUGAUCCGGCCAUGCCGCGUGCGGGAAGAAGGCCUUCGGGUUGUAAACCGCUUUUGUCAGGGAAGAAAUCUUCUGAGUUAAUACCUCGGGAGGAUGACGGUACCUGAAGAAUAAGCACCGGCUAACUACGUGCCAGCCGCCGCGGUAAUAC